rnacentral:rRNA from 1 species
GGGGAAUUUUCCGCAAUGGGCGCAAGCCUGACGGAGCAACGCCGCGUGAGGGAUGAAGGCCUCUGGGCUGUAAACCUCUUUUCUCAAGGAAGAAGAUCUGACGGUACUUGAGGAAUAAGCCACGGCUAAUUCCGUGCCAGCAGCCGCGGUAAUACGGGAGUGGCAAGCGUUAUCCGGAACUAUUGGGCGUAAAGCGUCCGCAGGCGGCCUUGAAAGUCUGUUGUUAAAGCGUGGAGCUUAACUCCAUUUCAGCAAUGGAAACUACAAGGCUAGAGUGUGGUAGGGGCAGAGGGAAUUCCCGGUGUAGCGGUGAAAUGCGUAGAUAUCGGGAAGAACACCAGUGGCGAAGGCGCUCUGCUGGGCCAUAACUGACGCUCAUGGACGAAAGCCAGGGGAGCGAAAGGGAUUAGAUACCCCUGUAGUC